UGCUGACUUAUUCAGAUGGCAGAUUUGUACGAUAUAGUACAUAACUGGCAUUGCCUCCCCUAUCCCAGGUCAAGGGCAAAGAGAGUCAAUUAUUUUAUUACCAGUCAAAACUGUUAAUUCAGCUCAGAACAUGCUGAUUAGAAGUCUUUAGUCAGUGGGAAGGUCUUCUGUGAUCUGGGACAUCUAUGUACUAUCUUACCGCAAGACCAUAUGUUUCUUUCAUCUGUGCUUAUCCUAAAAAGCAAUUUUUGUACUCCUGGUGGGCAUAUGUGUGAAUUCUGUGGAAUUGGUGUGCACAAUGACAGCAGUUUUGUACAUUCACUUCUUUGCUGUUGAAUCACAGAUUUCCCUCUUUGCCUGAGAAAACAGUCAGUUCUACAGUUGACAGCCAAUUUGAAAGAAUGAAUUUGAUUUACCUAGACAUUGGAAUCUAACUAAAAGAGCACUUGCAAUACACAGCUUUCAUUCUAGCAGUGGUGACAUCACAGCCUCUGAGGCACUCACCUUUCAGGACACGUCCAUCACAAUUCAGUGUGGGGCUCAGGUCUAUGUCCUGUCUCAGAGAUGCAGAAUGAGGGAGGCUUCACUGUUGAAUGCCAACAAUUUUAGUGACAAGGGUAAGGACAUACGGCAAAUUAUAUACCAGCUUCUAAACGCUUCUGCUUAGCAGCGUCAGGUCAUAUGCUCUAACAUGUCAUUGGCCAAAGUCAGUCACAUGGCCAUGACUAAAUUUAAGGAGGUAGGGAAACGGAAUCCUACCGCAUGCUUGGCAGGAGGAGAGCCAGAAAUAUUGGUGAAGGGCAAUGACUAUCACAGUCUACUUUAAC
rnacentral:lncRNA from 1 species